AUGCACAUCGGCGGGUCAAUCCUCAUGAUAGAGAGUAUUGCAGAAGGGACGCUCCAGAUGCCGUCACCGCAGAUCAAACCCGAAGCAACCGCGCCUGCAAAGUCCUCCGACUCCUUGCGGUUAAUCUUCUCCCAGACAAACAGGAUGACCGUCCCAACAAACAUGUCAAUCGCAAAAUACGCUCCAAUGUAG
rnacentral:rRNA from 1 species